UGUAACAUUUCUCUUUUUUAAAUUAGAAUAAAUGAUUUUGAAUAUUGGGUCCUCUAUCAGAUUUUUUCCUCCUCUCAAGAUCGGCAUUUCCUUUCCUUUUCCAAUCAACGAAAUGCUUCUUUGGCCCUUACUCUAAAUAUUCAAUUUUUAUUUUUAUUUUUUUUAUUUUGAAAACAAUUCAUCUGCUUCGUGAAAAAACUUGGUCUAUUUUCUUCUUAUUUUAGAUUUCAUUUUUUUUCCUGUUGGUCUAGGUGUUUAUUGAUGAGAGUUUUGAUACCAUGUAUAUUUUACAUCGAAAUCCAUCUCACUUUCUUUUUUGAGUGUGUCGAGAUUGGAAAUCAUAAAGUGUACCUAUUGAAACUUUGGAACUAAUUUUCAUUUUUUUCCUGAUUUUUCUUGACAGCCAAACGUAGUAUCAACCAUGGAGACAUGUCCUCAAAGAAAUAUCGUCAUGAUAAGCGUGUCUAUCUUGGAGCCCUUAAAUUUAUUCCACAUGCAGUUUACAAGCUCCUUGAGAAUAUGCCCAUGCCAUGGGAGCAGGUCCGAGAUGUGAAGGUGUUGUACCAUAUUUCUGGGGCAAUUACAUUUGUGAAUGAAAUACCAUGGGUUGUUGAGCCUAUAUAUAUAUCUGGCUCAGGUUGGUUUCUCUAGCAUGAUGUUUCCUUCUUCUUCUUUUUUUCUUUUUUUUUUUUUAUUUUUUGUAUUUGGUUUUUAUUUAUGUGGAGCUCAUGUGAGUUCAAUGAAAGUAUGGGUAGCCGUGCAUUGCGCUCUCUUGUGUGAUAUAAUUUAUUUGCAAAUUGCCAAUGACAGAUUGAAUCUUAAAAUGUUACGGUGGGGUACGAUGUGGAUCAUGAUGCAAAGGCAGAAGAGAGAUCGUCGGCAUUUCAAGAGAAUGCGUUUUCCACCAUUUGAUGAUGAAGAACCUCCAUUAGACUAUGCUGCUAAUCUUUUAGAUGUUGAUCCUCUUCAACCUAUCCAAUUAGAAUAGGAUGAAGAAGAGGAUUCUGCUGUAUGUACUUGGUUUUAUGACCAUAAGCCUCUUGUGAAAACAAAGCUGAUAAAUGGUCCAAGUUACCGGAAAUGGCAUCUCUCCCUUCCGAUCAUGGCGACACUGCAUCGGCUUGCAGGACAGCUACUUUCUGAUUUGAUUGAUCGCAAUUAUUUCUACUUGUUUGACAUGGAGUCAUUUUUUACAGCCAAAGCAUUGAACAUGUGUAUCCCUGAUUGGCUCUUCAGGGGAACUUCUUGGUGCCAUGUUUUUAUCCUUACAUGGUGGGGGAGGAGAACUUGAGAUAUAUGGUGUGAUGUGAUACCAAUUACCAGCACACUGGCACAUAAUGGUUCAGUUUAGGCGGCCCUAAAUUCGAGCCUUUAUACCGUGACAUGGAGAAAGGGGAUGAGGAUUGGAAUGAGUUCAAUGAUAUUAACAAGUUAAUAAUUUGGUCACCUCUCAGGACAGAAUACAGAAUUACAUUCCCUCAUCUCUAUAAUAACAGGCACAGGAAAGUAAAGCUGUGUGUGUAUCACACUCCCAUGAUCAUGUACAUAAAAACCGAGGAUCCUGAUUUCCCUGCAUUUUAUUAUGAUCCUUUGAUACACCCAAUAACUAGCACUAACAAGGAGCAGCAUGAAAAGAAAAGACUUGAUGAGGAUGAUGAUGAUGAUUUGUCUUGGCAGAAGGGGUAGAACCUUUUCUGAAUGACACACACCUUUAUAUCGAUACCACAGCUGCUGGUGUUUCUUUAUUGUUUGCUUCACGCCCUUUUAACAUGAGAUCUGGUCGGAUCAGAUGGGCAGAAGAUAUACCUCAUGUCAGAGUGGUAUAAAGAGCAUUGUCCUCCAUCCUAUCCAGUAUUUAUGCGCUGAAGAGGCAGGAAGCUCAGGCCCAAAAUAGGCUUCUGGCCCUUGAAGAUGUGGAAGAUUCAUGGGACGGGGGAAUUCCACGUAUAAAUACUUUGUUUCAGAAGGAUCGGCACACUCUUGCAUGACAGAGGAUGGAGGGUGCGCACCGACUUCAAGCAAUACCAAGUUUUAAAGCAGAACCCUUUCUGGUGGACGCACCAGAGGCAUGACUGAAAACUUUGGAACUUGAACAAUUAUCGAACUGAUGUAAUCCAAGCUUUGGGAGGUGUCGAGGGAAUUCUUGAGCAUACCUUAUUCAAAGGAACAUAAUAAGUGUUAUCUGUGGCAAGUUUCUUCAAAGUGCAACUAUGGAGUCUUUGAACUUGGGGACAGAAGAGUCUAGAAACUAUUUUUUUUUUUUGUGUAAUAAUCAGUAUCUUGAGAUGGUUCAGCUUGUGGUUAUAAGCAUUUUGUAGCAGUUGUAGUGUAGUAGGAGUAGGCUUUGUACAUAUAUGAUUAUGUUAUUUAAGUCUGCACAUCCGUGCUGAAGCUAAAGCAUUCCGCUCUGCACAAUUUUUUUUUUUUUUUUGAAGAAACAACAUUUCAUUGAUCAACUGUUAUACAAGAAAAAGUGAAUACAGAGGAGGAUCCUCCAUAUCCACUAUACAAGAAAGAGUUAAACAUUUUGUA